UCUGGCCUCAAAUCAGGUAGGACUACCCGCUGAACUUAAGCAUAUCAAUAAGCGGAGGAAAAGAAACUAACAAGGAUUCCCCUAGUAACGGCGAGUGAAGCGGGAAGAGCUCAAAUUUGAAAUCUGGUAGCCUUCGGUUGCCCGAGUUGUAAUCUAGAGAAAUGUUUUCCGUGCCGGCCCAUGUACAAGUCCCUUGGAACAGGGCGUCAUAGAGGGUGAGAAUCCCGUCCUUGACAUGGACCCCCGGUGCUUUGUGAUACAUUUUCAACGAGUCGAGUUGUUUGGGAAUGCAGCUCAAAAUGGGUGGUGAAUUCCAUCUAAAGCUAAAUAUUGGCGAGAGACCGAUAGCGAACAAGUACCGUGAGGGAAAGAUGAAAAGCACUUUGGAAAGAGAGUUAAACAGUACGUGAAAUUGUUGAAAGGGAAACGAUUGAAGUCAGUCAUGCUCUUUGGUAUUUAUAUCAUUGAGUGGGGUCAACAUCAGUUUUGAUCGAUGGAUAAAGGCACUAGGAAGGUAGCACUCUCGGGUGAACUUAUAGCCUAGCGUCAUAUACUUUGAUUGGGACUGAGGAACGCAGCAUGCCUUUAUGGCCGGGAUUCGUCCACGUACAUGCU
rnacentral:rRNA from 1 species